CAGCAGCCACGGUAAUACGAAGGAUGCAAGCGUUAAUCGGAAUUACUGGGCGUAAAGCGUGCGUAGGCGGUGAGUUAAGUCUGCUGUGAAAUCCCCGGGCUCAACCUGGGAAUGGCAGUGGAUACUGGCUCGCUAGAGUGUGUCAGAGGAUGGUGGAAUUCCCGGUGUAGCGGUGAAAUGCGUAGAGAUCGGGAGGAACAUCAGUGGCGAAGGCGACCAUCUGGGACAACACUGACGCUGAGGCACGAAAGCGUGGGGAGCAAACAGGAUUAGAUACCCCCGUAGUCCCUGUCUCUUAUAC
rnacentral:rRNA from 1 species